rnacentral:rRNA from 1 species
GAUCCUGGCUCAGAUUGAACGCUGGCGGCAGGCCUAACACAUGCAAGUCGAGCGGUAGAGAGAAGCUUGCUUCUCUUGAGAGCGGCGGACGGGUGAGUAAUGCCUAGGAAUCUGCCUAGUGGUGGGGGAUAACGUUCGGAAACGGACGCUAAUACCGCAUACGUCCUACGGGAGAAAGCGGGGGACCUUCGGGCCUCGCGCCAUUAGAUGAGCCUAGGUCGGAUUAGCUAGUUGGUGAGGUAAUGGCUCACCAAGGCGACGAUCCGUAACUGGUCUGAGGGGAUGAUCAGUCACACUGGAACUGAGACACGGUCCAGACAAAUACGGGAGGCAGCAGUGGGGAAUAUUGGACAAUGGGCGAAAGCCUGAUCCAGCCAUGCCGCGUGUGUAAGAAGGUCUUCGAAAUGUAAAGCACUUUAAAUUGGGAGGAAGGGUAGUAACUUAAUCCGUUGUUAGUAGAACGUUACCGACAGAAUAAGCACCGGCUAACUUCGUGCCAGCAGCCGCGG